GAUGAACGCUGGCGGCGUGCCUAAUACAUGCAAGUCGAGCGAACAGACGAGGAGCUUGCUCCUCUGACGUUAGCGGCGGACGGGUGAGUAACACGUGGAUAACCUACCUAUAAGACUGGGAUAACUUCGGGAAACCGGAGCUAAUACCGGAUAAUAUAUUGAACCGCAUGGUUCAAUAGUGAAAGACGGUUUUGCUGUCACUUAUAGAUGGAUCCGCGCCGCAUUAGCUAGUUGGUAAGGUAACGGCUUACCAAGGCAACGAUGCGUAGCCGACCUGAGAGGGUGAUCGGCCACACUGGAACUGAGACACGGUCCAGACUCCUACGGGAGGCAUCAGUAGGGAAUCUUCCGCAAUGGGCGAAAGCCUGACGGAGCAACGCCGCGUGAGUGAUGAAGGUCUUCGGAUCGUAAAACUCUGUUACUAGGGAAGAACAAAUGUGUAAGUAACUAUGCACGUCUUGACGGUACCUAAUCAGAAAGCCACGGCUAACUACGUG
rnacentral:rRNA from 1 species